UCUACAGCAUGUACAGAGAGAGCAGCAAUUGAACCAUGGUGGGAAGGCUUCCCAGCAGUGACACAAAAGUUUUAUGUUGUUCACUGGAAAUAACCAUCAAGCUGGGAGCAAAAAAGAAAACAGUAUUUUCAAAAGCCAGUUAGAAGCUGGUUCAGGGAGAGCGUGUGCCCUCUGAAGAAGAAAUGGAAGCGCAACACUUGAAUAAUAAACGGUUUACUCAAGAACCAAGAGUGACAAAAAAG